rnacentral:tRNA from 1 species
GGAGGGGUACCCAAGUGGCCAACGGGACCAGACUGUAAAUCUGGCGUCUUUCGACUUCGGUGGUUCGAAUCCACCCCCCUCCACCA